rnacentral:tRNA from 1 species
GAGGGUAUAGCUCAGUGGUAGAGUGUGUGCUUAGCAUGCACGAGGUCCUGGGUUCAAUCCCCAGUACUUUCA